CGGCAAAGGGGUGAAGGCGGAGGAGGUAGUGCCUGGCGCGGUGCCCUGCAGCUGGUGGCGGGUGGGGCCGGCGGGCGGGCUGCCGCUUUCCCCUGUCGACGGAGGCUGCUGACGGGAAAACGAUACGGGAGGGAGCGCCUCGGCCCAGGUCCCUUCCCCUGAAAACCUGCGGGAUUUCAGGGCCGAGUAAGCCAAGCAGAAGAUCUGGGCAGUGUUAACAAACGGACGUUGAGAUUUGCAGAGAUCAGCCUUCGAGGCCUCUGUCUGCACGCCGCUGGCUCUGUGACCUCUGGCGUGGCACAGCCUGGCCUCAGUUUCCCCACCCUUCUAGAGGGCUUGCGGCUUGCGAGUGGCCCCGAAGAAAAGAGUUAACGUCACAAAUACUACCAGCCUAAUCUUCCGCGAACAGGUGGACUGGUCGAGGCCCCAGCACCUCAUCGGCAGGAUUGCACCCGGCGUAGUGAAGCGCUGGCCUAGAGAGGAAGGUAUAUGAUACGGUCAGCCCUCCAAUCCUUGGAUGUGGAGCCUGUGGCUACGGAACCCGUGUAAAUGGAGGGCCGAUUGUACUCCUUAUGCAAAGGACAUGAGCACCCGCGGAUUUUGCUGUCCACGGGGGUCCCCAUGGACACCGAAGGGUAGCAAGUUGCAGGUCCCCCAGGGAAAGUGCAGGAGUGGGAGCCUUACCAUGUGCUACGGUGCUCGUGACAGUCUGCUUGGCAGUCACUUACCGAGAAGAAUGAAUGGCUGGCUACUGUAUAAACCCUCCCCCAUAUCUGUUCAAGUAGUUCUCAGUUACCAUUAAUCAGAAUAAUGGUUCUUAAACUUUGGCGUGCACCAGAACCACCUAGAAGGCUCCUUAAAACACAGAUCCAAGGGCCCACAAACAGAGUUUCCGACUCAGGAGGCCCAGGGUAGGGCUGGUUCAACUGAAGAGGCUCUUCUAAGAAAGACAACUGAGAUCAUGAGUCACCUCCUCAGAGAAAGUCCACUGAGGUAGAGUUUUGUUUACCAUGUAAACAACGCAACAUUUAUUGUUGAACCCCUUAUUCUUUUACAGCCAGACUAGAGAAUUGCCAUUUUUUGGGUUUUUUUUGGUGGGGGCAUGAGGGUCAAAGAAAGGGUCAUGGGCGAGAAGAUGGGUCCUGGGAAGAUGGACCUGUAAGCCACAGAAUCCCCUCGGGGAAGAUUCAGGAAGGCAAAGACUGUCCUUUCAACUCAAAUGUCAAAUGCGUUCCCACUUAUCUUACCAAGCAAGACGACAAACUGGAUUUUCCCAGAGUGCCUGGCGAUGCUUAGGUGACAGGAGUGACUGAGCGGCAGGCCUGGAGACAGAUUCUUGGCCACCCCAUGUAUCCAAACCUCCCCAUGUAUCCAAACCCCCAGAAAAUGCCUGGAAGAGAGCGGAAGGGGAGGACUGAAGAUAAUCCUUAACUUUUCUAAAGCAGGAAUAUAUUACCCUCAAUAAACUUUAAAUAUUUGCCCCUCUUGUGAGUUAGGGUGACUAUUUGCAUUGAAGAAGAAGAAAAUAAUCUUUAGAGCUCACUUUUCUAAGAUCGUGGAAAACAAACAAAACGCAGAAUCCAUUGCUUUGGGCGAAAAACAGUGAUAAUAACUCUAAGUACGCUCAAUGACUCCAGAAUUGUCAUUUAUAGUAUCGAUUAUACAUUAAAAAAAAAGAAACUAAAUUGAAAAAAUAGAUUCCAAAGGUAAGAAGAUUGAGGGUUGGGGGCUAGAGGGACGAACAGGUAGAGCACAGAGGACUUGCAGGGCAGUGAACCUAUUCUGUUUGCUGCUGUAAUAGUGGAUCCAUGUCAUUAUACAUUUGUCAAAAGCUACAGAAUGUACAACGCCAAGAGUGAAUCCUAACGUAAACUACUGUCUUUAGUUAAUAAUGAUGUAUCUAGGUUCGUUUAUCGAUUGUAGUAACUACACCACAGUAAUACAGAAGUUAAUAACGGGAACCGGCGGGUAAGGUGGGGAGAAGGGGGCAUACGGGAACUCAGUCCUUUCCGCUCCGUGUUUCCUGUAAAAAAUAAAACCUUUUUAAAAAAAUGGA